UCCCACUCACUGUCUCACUCGCAAGCUUCCCCAUUCCCAUUUCCCUCGAACCCCCAAAUCCCUAGCUAGCUCGUCGCCUCCCUCGCCCGCGUCGUCAUCGCUUGCUCUCCGUCACCUGCGUCGUAGUCGCCGGCUCUCCUUCAAGAUGGCAUUUUUAUUCACUGGCGCCCGGAUCUGAAGCAGCGGGAGGAGCUGCAGUUGGUACUGGUCUGUAUGGUGGUUGGUGGAGAGGAGUGAUUGGAGAAGAUGAUGGUGAUGGAUUUUUGGCGGCAGCGAGGAGCAGCGGGAGGAGAAGCGGCGGCGAGGAGCAGCGGGAGGAGAGGCUGCUUCAGCGGCGGCGACAAGCUCCUCCGACCACCAUCUGCUGCUGCUUGUACUUCCCCGACGAUGCAGGUGUAAAUGUUGCCGAUUUACCGAAGAUGCGGCUCCUGAUCAUGCAUGUGGGUCGUCAAGAUUCUUGAUGUGGCUGAAGCUCCUGAAGAUGUUGAUCAUGUGGCUGCUGAUCGCAUGCUGCUGUGUCUGCCUCUUAGCUGUAAGACAAUCAUAGUACUUGGAGUAUUUAAUUUUGUUACUCCUUGUGACAGGAAUAUUGUUGCUUAGAGUAUUUGCUUGGAGUAUUGUUGCUUAGAGUAUUUGCUUGGAGUAUUGUUGCUUAGAGUACUUUGCUUGGAGUACUUGUAGGAACAUGGGGUAGUGCUUGAUCUGGUGCAGUAUUUUAAGUACUGUUAAAAAUAUUAUUAAUUUAAAA